rnacentral:rRNA from 1 species
ACGUAGGCAGCAAGCGUUGUUCGGAAUUACUGGGCGUAAAGAGUGUGUAGGCGGUGCUCUAAGUCUGUUGUGAAAUCUCCCGGCUUAACUGGGAGGGUGCGGCGGAAACUGGAGUGCUCGAGGGUGGGAGAGGUAAGCGGAAUUCCUGGUGUAGCGGUGAAAUGCGUAGAUAUCAAGAGGAACACCUGAGGUGAAGACGGGUUGCUGGGCUGACACUGACGCUGAUGCGCGAAAGCCAGGGGAGCAACCGGGA